GAGAGAUAAGGAGAGAGACAGUGAGUGUCCACCAGCCCUCAGCAGUAAUGGGUGGCUGGAAGCAACAGGUGGUGCAGUUUGACAGAAAAUUUCAAGAACUACAGGCGGAAAAAAAUACAAGUUGUUUUGUUCUUCUUUUUGUUGUUGUUCUUGUUUUGUCAAUCAUCUUUUGCUGCUCUUCCUCUUCUUCCUUCUCUAUUUUGGAACCGUGCAUCGAUUCCACUGUAACCUUUCAAUUUUACUAACCUUUCAAUUUUAUUUGUUCUGAGCUCCAGAAAAAAACCAAAUACAUAUUUGCAUGCUGCCGUGACGGUGACUGUUUGUGUUUGUGGAAAGAAAACUGCACGCCACCUUCUCUAAAGCUGUGCUUGCUGCCAUACGUUGCUGCAUCAGUUUGGGGAAGUGA